AUUUGAAUUUUUUUUAUACAGAUCCAUGAUUUAUAUUGGAUGAAAAGUUCGUGGAAGUCACAGGAUGGAUCAGCUAGCUGCAAGAAGGACCUCAUUUUAAUCCUAAUAAUAAGUCACAUGAAGUACCGGUGGAUGAUGACAUGACAUGUGGGUGACCGGCGAAGCAUACAAGCCAACAAAGAUGGCAUUGCAGAAGUUUGAUGAAGGACUUAUAGGUUCCGUUGGCUUGAAGGAUAAUAUAUCAUUUGACCAUCUUGGUAUAAUAAUUGUUGUAUUGGUAUUCGUUUCUCUUCUUGCAUGAAGAUUUCAUUAAGCUGACCUCACUCCAUACUGGGAAGGACAGUUCUUGUUCAUGAUGAUUCUAAUGAUCUAGGAAAGGUUGUUCAAGAAUCAAGAUGAGUUAUUUGCUACAUCAAAGAUUGUGAUGUCAUUGGGCACCAACGGAGGCGGACUGCAUCGAGGCGGGCUGUGUGCCGCUGCUCGAUGCCUAGAAAUCAAUUCGGCUGCGUUCAGGCAAAAUGGCUUCCAUUCAAGCUAGCUUUCCGAGGAAGCUUCUCAGAAGGUCCUUGGAUGGGGGAGGUUAACUUCAUCAUUCUUUCCCUUCAGUAGUUUUCACGAGCAGGACAAUUUUCGAUAAAAGUGAACAGGCUGAUUUCUUGACAAACAGAUGAAGGCCAGGCUACUAUUUAUCCAAUCAUUUUUUGUUUCAUAGAUUUCUGUUCACUCUAUUUUAGAUUGCAUUUAUAAGAAAUUCAGUUCUAUUUAAUGAGGAUGUCAGAUGUUCUUA